rnacentral:SRP_RNA from 2 species
GCCGGGCAUCGUGGCGGGUGCCUGUAAUCCCAGCUAUUCAGGAGGCUGAGGCAGGAGAAUCGCUUGAACCUGGGAGGCAGAGGUUGCAGUGAGCCAAGAUCAUGCCACUGCACUCCAGCCUGGGUGACAGAGUGAGACUCCGUCUCAA